CUGAAAUGUUAAUGCAGUUUUGAAUGGUAUUUCCUUGAGUGCUUUGAAAAUAUUCAGACAGUAAACACAGCAUGAUACUUUGCUAGUGUCUUCCUUUCUUGGAAUUCCUUUUAGUUAUUCUUCAAUGAAAAGUGUUGCAUACUCUAACCAAAUUGAGUGUGCCCAUUUGUAUACAUAAAAUAUAGACACAUUUUCAUUCUGAAUUUCUCUCUUUUUAAAAUAAAUUUUUGACUAUAUAUAUUUUUCUAAAUGACAUUCAUGUUUUCCAAGCUCUGUGACUCAAACAAGUCCAAGUGUGUUUUAUUUCUACACAAAGUGACAGAUUUGAAAAUCUCUUAACACAUCAAUUUUAACACUAAAAAUUGCCCUUUAUUGUUUUAAAUGUUGAAUCUGUAUAAUAUCAAGUCCAUUUCUCAAGAGAGUUUUAAAUAAAUUUUCUGUUGUGUUUAUAGUAUUGCUGAGUAUGUUUGCUAGUUAAGCACUGAUUUAAAUUGUUUUAGAUAUAUGCAUAUCAGUGUUUGUUAUCAGGGAACACAUUCUCUCUUAAUUCUUCCUGGUUUUACCCCAGCAGAAGCCAGAUGAAGGAAAGCAUCUCAGCUUCAUCUGGAAUGCAUAAGAUAGUGUCUCAUUUGGAAAGUACUGUUGCACAAAAUGUAAUGGUCUUAUCUCCAAUUGCAAUGACUUCAUAUCUAUGAACAUGGUGGUGUCUAAAGAGUGAUGAUGAAAUCUAUAUGUAACUCAUAACUGACAUUAUUUUUAACAGAGUGAUUCUGAGCAAGAUAAUGAGUGUACUUCUUGUCUAUUUGGUGUAUUCCGUUCACCCACAAAAAAAAGAAUAAAAGGAUAUGUAAAAGGACAAAAACACAGUGAAGAAACAGCAAAUGGAAAAGGCAAAAGAAGUACAAAUAGUUGUGGAGCAUUCCUGAAACCCACAGAUGUUGGAUCACUUUCUUCACACAACAGAGGAAAAAUAAAAUUGGUGUUGGUUGAGCCACCUGAUACAGGAAAGGAAGCUAUAUCAGUUUCCCACAUGGCAGAGUUAAAUUUGGACAGAUCAUCUGAGGCAGAACAGAAGAGGCUUCAUGAUAUGGAUGAUACUGCACAUCACCAGCAAAAGGUAGGCAUAUGUGUCCAUUUAAAUUCUUUUUCUUGCUUCCAGAUGCCAAUUGAAAUGACCUACUACAGUACUCUUUGAAAAUCCAAACAUAGUAAUUAAAUAUUUAAGUACAGAGAAGUUAACUGGUCAUCAAUAUCAAAAUAGCUUUAGCAAUCAAGGUGAAUGACAGAUAAACUUUAUGCAAGUAAUUGCACUACUAUUUUCCAAUAAUGUUUGCAUUUUCAUCUAUGUGACAGCCUUAAAUGGUGAAUGAUAAAUUGCAGAAUAUCAUAUCAGUUGAAACUAGGAACAUGCAUAAAUGCAAUGACCGCUGAACACAUUCAUGUAAAAAUAGCUUCAUUCCCAAAGGCUCAGUGUUUAAUUUCACAUUAGCUGUCACCCAUGACAAGGUUAACGAUGUUUUUCUCCAUGGAUUCCUGUGUCUUUACUGAGGAAGAUACCAGACUUAAAUGAGACCCAAAACUGCCUGUUAAUGGAAAAUGAUUCAGGAUGGGUACUUUUCUGUUAAUAUACAUACAGUUUCUAUUGAUUUUAUGUCAUUUCCUUUCAAGAAAUCAAUUCACUUAUUAAACAUAUUUUUUUCUUAGUAUCUAGAUGUUGUUAGACCUAAGUCAUUGGAUGCAAUUAUUGAGAAAUCAUGAAAUUUGGGAGGUGUAUUUUUCCUCUGUUCUCAUGUUGUCUGUGUUAGUAAAUUGUGGAUUUCCAUGCAUUUGAAUGGAUUUCUGUUCCAUAGUGUCUCCUGGGUACUUGGAGUGUGCAAGUUUCUCUUUGGGAUGUUUCCUGGACAGGGUUUAUAGAUGAGGAUCACAUCUGAAAAAUGAGCAUGUUUAACAUGUUACUUUCACUCACAAGUAUCUCUGUAAGGGGAGAGUAUCACAGAGCCACCAUCACCUUGCCAGGGUAGUUUCCUGCUCAGAAGGUGUAAGCCACCUGGGAAAAAGAAAGUCUCAAAUAAUUAGUAAGGAAAUAAGAGACAGAGCCAGAAAUUAAGUUUGAAAAGGAAAGCAGAGCUCCUGAAAGGUUCCCCAAUCCCAGUAGAAGCUGGAACUGAACAACUAGAAAAAGGAUCAAGUUGUUUAUUUAAGGGAGAGUAGAUCAAAGGCAGAGAUAAGUUUUUAGCGGGAGGAAUAUUGCUUUUUGGUGUGUUAGGGUUCUUGCAGCAAUGAAGUUGAUUGGCAUCUUGACAGGCCACACCCAACUCUGAAAGGCUGUGUAGCUGUGUGGCUCCAGCUGGUCCACCCAUCUCCAGUGCAGUGCUGAACCUGACACAGCUUUGUAAGAAGCCAGUGGCUUCUAAGUCAAUUUGCUUCACACCAAGUUCGCAUUGGCUCCUGUCAGGAGAGAAUAAACUCCAAUAAUGAUCACAGCAUAAACCAAAAUAUGUAUCCACUGUACAUAAAAUAUUAUGUUUUAAAUGAUCUCCAGAGCAGCACAAAAUGAAGAGAUGGAGUAGGAAAUAACAAGGUUAACCUGCAAAAAAAAAAAAUAUAUCCUGGUUAUAAUAUAAUUAUUGGAACAUAUUUCAAAAAAGUAAGUAGAGUGAAAGUGGUGAGAGUAAGCAGAGUCAGAAUAGGAGUAGAGGAAAAAAUGCAAUAAAAAUGAGAAAUGAAAAGAUUUAAAAUGAGAAUAAAAAUUGUCUCUGGCUAACCAAAAAAAAAUGAAUGAAUGGAAUAAAUGUCUCAAAUAAAUAGAAAGAGAAAAAUAAAUAACAUGGAAAACUCAUAAAAAUUAUCAAACAAAAAUAUCAGAAACAAU